UAUCGCUAGCUGUUUAUUUCAUUCGUUCUCUGGUUCAGACGGGAGACUUGUAAUCGUUGUGAGCUAAUAUAUAUUUUGAGGAAAAAUUCUGCUUAAAUGCAAGUGUGAAUCCGUAACAAAAAAUCUUUGGUGCAAUAAAUAUUAAAAUUAAAAGUUUUAAAAAAUAAUUAAAAUGCAAAAAUCUCAACAAAUUGUGUAAUUAAUUUAAAGUCAAGCUAAAUAAUAUUGUAUAUCUGUGAUUGUGUACGAAAAGUUUAAAAAAUAAAUAAUAGAUUCUGAAAAUGAAAUUAAAAACCUGAAAUUAUUUAUUAAAUUGUAAUUACUUUGACAGAAAUAUUUCAUUUUAAUUCUUAGUGCAAACGCUAAAGUUGGCUGUAAAAAUCUAUUACUGCUCACAAGAAAUAUAGAAUAACAAUAAGAAAAACAUCAAAAGGUGUCAAAUGCUGCAAUUUUCUUUCAAAAGAACUAUUUGAAGUGAGAAUAAUCUCUUAUAUAGCCUACAUAAUAAUAGUUCUUUAGUGAAUAUUAAAUAAUUAAAUUUUGAUUACAAAAGUAAUUAACACGUUAAAUAUUAUUGAAGUAGCGUUGAAAAUUAAGCAAUUUUCACGUUUUGAUAGUUACUUGAGAUUAAACAAGACGAACAUGCACAGCAACAACAGUCAAUCAUCCGGCCGACAGGGCAAGGAAAAGCGUUUCUCUAUACAUGAUGCAUUCGAAGAGGAAACAGACGAGGCCAUACGAGUUUAUGGGUCAACUGUGAUUUCCACACCAAUACGCGCAAAACAACGUUCCUCAGAUGAUGUCUCCAUACGCAUACAGGAUCCAAAAAAUCACAAUAAGUACUCAGAAGACACCACAUCCCGUGAUAGUGAUUCUCUCAUUCAAGAGUACGGCAACCUACCCACAGAUGAAACGAAUACAUACUGCUGGCGACAUCCCAAGGUGCGUGAAAAUUGGCGAACUGUCUUGGCGGCCGUGACGUUACUGCUUGUGGGUACCGGCCUUUUUGUGAUGGGCACAUUAGCUGUAUCUAAGCCGGAAAACACUUCGCAAGGAGUUGUUUUCUUUGUAGCCGGCCUCAUUUGUUUCAUACCCGGCGCAUAUCAUGUGGUGUACAUUUGGCUGGCUGCCAAAGGAUACCGAGGCUUUGAUUUUUAUCAUCUACCGUUGUUUACAUAAAAUCACACUUACACCCCAAUGAGCCUGAACUAUGUUGCAGCGACAAAUUGUGUCGAAGACAUAAACAUCAAUCAAACAAAUCAAAAUAAUCGAAUUAGAAGAAAUUAAAUACGAAAAUAAUAAUAAACACGAAGAUUAUAUAUCAUUAUCGUAACUAUUACCAUUAUUAAUUUAGGCAGAAAACUUUUAUAUAUGAUUAUAUUUUACAUAUA